UCCAAUACAUUGGAACAACCAUUGUUGAUAUAAGAUGUUUAAUGUAAGUAAGGAUCAUGAGAGCUCACUAGUGAGCGAGAUGAUUAAUGUAAGUAAGG
rnacentral:misc_RNA from 1 species